rnacentral:lncRNA from 1 species
AGGAACAAGAAUUUCAACCACAGUUGCUGAAUUUUUCAAGGCAAAGGAAGAAGGAUAUUACAUAGGCAUAAUUUGGGCCUUUGAGACCAUGUCCCUUACCCCCCGCCAAAGUGUCAAGACUCACAUCUUUAAUUCAACAAUCUUUGUAUUAAUUACCUCUGGAUAAGGUAAGCUUUGAUUGGGAGUCCUUUAUUGUAAAAUUACAGUACAUUGCCUUAUUUAAGAUAAAUAAAUUAG